ensembl:snoRNA SNORD62 Small nucleolar RNA SNORD62
UCUCUGUGAUGUUCCAAUAGAUCCUUCCGACCCUUCACUAUGUACUCAGAAGGGACAUGUGGAGACACUUUGACUGAGAGA